rnacentral:rRNA from 1 species
CUUUACUGUAUCUUGGCAUUGGGCCUAGGCUCUCCAUGUGUAGGAUAGGUGGGAGGCUUUGAGACGGGGGCGCCAGCUCCCGUGGAGCCGUCCUUGAAAUACCACCCUUGGGUAGUUUGGGUCCUAACCGAGUCCCGUUAUCCGGGACCGGGACAGUGCCUGGUGGUCAGUUUGACUGGGGCGGUCGCCUCCUAAAAGGUAACGGAGGCAUCCAAAGGUCCCCUCAGGGUGGUCGGCAAUCACCCGUAGAGCGCAAAGGCACAAGGGGGCUUUACUGCAAGACUGGCAAGUCGAGCAGUUGCGAAAGCAGGGCUUAGUGAUCCCGCGGUUUGGCGUGGAACUGCCGUUGCUCAAUGGAUAAAAGGUA